rnacentral:lncRNA from 1 species
CAAAUGCAUCGGCCUUUAACAACGCGCUGAAGCCUACUUCGUAGUUCUUUUGAGAAUUCGUCCCAUCAACAGAAGCACUCACCUCACCCCAGGAUACUUGCAACAGUUCCACAGGCAUACCCUUGUGCAGUAGAAUUUUUUUUCCAGAUUAGAAUCACAGUAAAUUGUAUGAUAUUAGCUUUAAGGUAAAUAAUCUGAAAAUGGAAGAGCUGGAAACUCAUGAUUUGUCCGGUAUUUUCCAGUAGCGACUGUCCCUUCCCCAAACUAUUUUUAGAGCUUUGGCUGAAAUUGAAAAAUUCUGCCCAUAUUUAUCCUGUUAAAAAAACAAAAAUAGGGUAUCAGAAUACUGGAGCGUGCUUUCUUGAUAUACAUCAGCGUUUAAUCCUUAUUUAUUUAGUGACCAUAAAAACAAGAAAAUCUUAUAUGGUUUUUUGCUAUUCAAGAAAGAAACUAUAAAGUGGAAGAAGAAGAUGACAGUGUUCCUUAUUUAUGGUUGAAGGAUCUCCUUCAUAGUGUGGACUGUUAUCAUGAACCAUUUUGAUUGAUGUCACACAAAAUCUCAGAAAAUUUGAAUGAGUACUAGCUAGUAGACAUAUAAUCGAGCGAAGCUCGAUAUGAUCGAUAUGAUAAUCAGCCUAUUGUUCUUGUGUACAUAUAUAGAGUUAGAGAAGCUUCACCGCAUCAAGUGCACGCGCAUAUAAAAGCUUUCUAGAACACAGCAAGCUGAUGGAGAAAAUAUGUAAUAUUCAGAAAAAUCAAGCAUGCAUGUGAUUUUUGAAAACAAAUAAAUAGUGUGUGU